UAUAAAACCAACUAUUAAGAUUCUUGAAGAAAAUAAACAAGUUGCAGGAUUGUUAAUUUAUAUAAAAAUAUAUUUCACAAAGCUAGUUACGUAACGUCUACACGGAGAAAAAAAUAAUGAUGUGCUAAGGGAAGUGAACUAUGCUCAGAUUGCAUUGCAAAGUAAAGGUUUAUCACUUCGUCUAUUCAUUGGAGAGAAACGGUUGCAUCUAGCAGGAGAGGCAAUAGAUUUUGCUGUA